UACGUAGGGUGCAAGCGUUGUCCGGAAUUAUUGGGCGUAAAGAGCUCGUAGGCGGUUUGUCGCGUCUGCUGUGAAAACCCGAGGCUCAACCUCGGGCCUGCAGUGGGUACGGGCAGACUAGAGUGCGGUAGGGGAGACUGGAAUUCCUGGUGUAGCGGUGAAAUGCGCAGAUAUCAGGAAGAACACCCGUGGCGAAGGCGGCUCUCUGGGACGGUACUGGACGCUGAGACGCGAAAGCGUGGGAGCGAACAGG
rnacentral:rRNA from 1 species